rnacentral:rRNA from 1 species
GACAGAGGAUGCAAGCGUUAUCCGGAAUGAUUGGGCGUAAAGCGCGCGUAGGCGGCUAAUUAAGUCAAAUGUGAAAUCCCCGAGCUUAACCUGGGAAUUGCAUUCGAUACUGCUGGGCUCGAGUCUGGGAGAGGGAAGCGGAAUUCCGGGUGUAGCGGUGAAAUGCGUAGAUAUCCGGAGGAACAUCAGUGGCGAAGGCGGCUUCCUGGCCCAAGACUGACGCUGAGGUGCGAAAGCGUGGGGAGCAAACAGG